GGCCGCAGCGAACUGGGGAGGCGCAGAGGGAGCCCUGGCGCCGUCCCCCCAGGGUGAGAGGGCACUCGGGUGGCGUGCUUUUGAGUGAAGCCCACCCUGACCCCCGACUUAAAAUUGCAAAUGACCCCGCCCACACCGUCCUGGUGCCCGCCUGCCCCGGCGUGCCUGUUUGCACGGACCGCUGCGUCUUCCCGCCCACCCUGCGGCUGGCUUCGGCGUCGCACCGGCUCGGGCCCCCGGGCAGGGUCUCCGUCCACCUGUCUGGUUCACUGUCCGGCCGCAGCAGGGACCCUGUGAUCGCGUGGGCCGCCCAGGUGAUCCAGUAUCAUCUGCGGUCUCAAGACCCUUCACUUCGUCCAUCCACAGGAUCCCUUUGCCGUGCGAGGUACCAUGUGCACAGGCUCUGAGGACCGGGACAGGACUUCUUGGGGGCUGUUGUGCCGCCCACACUGCACACUGAGCUUUGCGCAGCAGGGAGGAGGGAUAGGGACACGGGUGUCACCGCACAUCCAGAGCCCAGAGUCACUCCAGGCCUGGCGCCUGGCCAGACGGAGGUGACCUGGGAGGCUGGCCAGCUGGAAAGCACCCGGGGUAUGGGUGCCACUUGGCUAGGGGCCCUGAGGCUGGCAGAGGGUUGGGGGCAGGUGAGCUGGGUAGUGUGACUGGCAGGGCCCAGGGUAGCCUUUUCCCUCCACCCGACUCCAUGAAGCCACCCGACACCUAUCCAGCCACAAGGCGUCCCAUCCCCUUCCUGUCUGCCUCCCCAGGGCCCCCCAACCCACCUCAAAACCCUGGUGCUCCUGAUGCCACUGCCAGGGAGCAGCUGGAGUGGGGCGGGGAGACCCAGCUCCCCCAUGAGCCACCUGGGGCCCCUGCCUUGAUAUCAGCCCGGAGUCCCGCUCUGGACUCCUGACCCCCUGAACUGAGAGUAAAUGUAUGUGGUUUGAAGCCACCCAGUUGUGGUCCAUGGUCACAGCGGCAAUAGGAACCCUACUACAGACAUAACACCCCCACCCCAACCCCGCGGUACCCUUUGCCAGGUGAGAAAACUGCAUCAGGUCGGGCCAAGAUGACCAAGCCGAGUGCCUUGUCACCAGGGGCAGGGUGGUGGCCUUCAGCCAGCGCUGCCCAGCCACCUGGCCCCACCCCACCAGUGUCUUGGUCACUAUGCAGUGACUCCUGUCCCUGCUGGAGAGCUGACCCCCAGGGAGGUGGGAGGUCCACAGUGUGGUGACCCCUCACUCCCAUGCUUACCCCCCCGGGGGAAGGCGAGCGGACGUCACAGCUGAGACGCCAUGGCUGGAAGGCGCAACCCAGCUCCUGGCCACACCCGCGUCAGCUUCCCUUUCCACACUCCAGGGAGGCCAGAGGCCCUGGCUCGGUUCUGUCCCCGGGACUGGAGCCAUUGGAAAGAGGCGGCGUGAGUCAGCCCACAGGAAGGGGCGCUUGCAGCCACUUGCAUCAGCUGUUCUUGCCACACGGCCCACAGCCAAGACACCCGAGGGUGCAGACAUGAGCCUGCCCAUCUAUCUCCUGGCUCAUCUGGGGUCCCCCAGGGGCCUAUGGGGUCUGUCCUGGGAGGUCAGACAGUUGAGAGACUGGGGUGGGUGAGAGACCCUGAUGGCACCUCCCUGAUACCCGCAGCCCUUUGCUGGCUGGCCCUGCUGCUCCCUGCUGGAAGGUGGCUGGGGAUUGGGACCCUGCUCCCCUUUCCCUCUCCAGCUGUGGCCAGGUGCCUCCUCAGGGCUGUCCCUCAAAGGCACAGGCCUAGGAGGAGAGAGAUCAGAUGGUCCCGCAGAGGGUCCAGCCAGGCUCCCCCAGUGGAGUCCACCCCCACCCCACAUGACACCCACCUGCACCUUCUCAGGUUGGCCCUCAAGCACAUGCAGCUUCGGCGCCUCUCAAAGCACACGUGCCUGUGUCUGCUCAUACACAGAUCCCCCCAGCUCCCCAACAGGCCCAGCGGUGUUGGGGAGCUGGGCCUUUUCUUACACUGGGGGGAAAAGGUGUUUAUCGUCACCCCCUGGUAGGGUCACCAGACAAAAUCCAGGACUCCCAGUUAGAUUUCAAUUUCAGCUAAAAACCAAUAAUUGUUUGGAAUAUACUUAUGGAUGGGACAGCCUUAUCCCAAAAAUGACUUGUUCAUGUGGCGCUCGAAUUUAACUAACGGGAAACACGUUGCUCUCCCAGCUACCCCCAGCCACUCACAGCUGCGGCCGGGUGCCCUGGCCCAAGGGUUCCGCUGAGCUUCCAGUGUGAAGGCAGACUUGACCCCUUGGAGAUGUCUGAGCUCAGACCCGGGCCUGGGGAGAGGCCUCAGGCCGGGGGAAGGGCAGAGACAUAGUGAGGAUCAGAGCACCCAGGGGCAACCUCCAAGUUGCCCCCAUCCCCCAAUUUCAAGAUGAAAAGACAUUGACAGCAGCAAUUGCUUGGCACCAACUCCUUCCUCUUCUUGUCUGGCUGCCUCAGUUAGGAGUCUUUCAUAUUUGUGGCAACUCGGAAAUGUCAUUCCGUGCCUCUUCUGGCACCCCCUUGGACUUGCGCCCAGGGGCAAGUGCCCCCUCUGUCCCCCUCCCACACCUCUGGGGAGGGGCCAGGGUGGAGGCCCAAGUAUCCUCAAGGGAGACUAGGUAGAGGGGGAGAAAGGAGCAGCCAGUUCCAGGAUGGGCGGACAGGCUGAUAUGGGUCCCCAGGGGUUGGUGCUGUUCAGUGGGGAUGGACUAGGGGGUUCUGUGCUCAUCUUUGGGAGCAUGUGCCCCAGGUGCCGAUUUCAGGGUGAUGACCUGGGUGCCCAGAAGUGGGGCUGGUGGAACCCCGGUGCGGGGAGGGGGUGGGGGCAUCUGGGAGUCACAAAGAUAAAAGCUUUCCGAUACAUUCUCCCCCCUGGUAGCCCAGCUCCCCAGGGCAAUCCUGGGUCCCCCUCCCAGGUUGGCUGCCUUCCCUGGGGCCCUUGGGUGUGGUGAAGGGCAUCCCAGGGGUCCAGUUGGCUCUGCCCAGCCUCCCGGUCUAGCCCACCAGCUGUGUCCACCCUUUGCCUGGGCUGGACCUGUCCGUGGUCGCCAGGACCGCGCUCCGGAAGGAAGGAGGAAACAGGCCUCAGUAAGCUCAGCAGGCCCAGGUGUGGGCCUGGACGCAGGCUUCCUGACCCUGGGGGCCAGGGAAGGCUGGCAGGGUGGCCUCCAGGCCUCCUCACUUCCUUCUGUCCAGGGGCCACCCAGCACCUUGGCCAGUUUGGCCUGUAAACAAGGGCCAGCUGCCCUCGGGAAGGUUCCAGGGGUCGGGCUGUGAGCCUGGCAGCCAGCCCCAUGCAGGUCAGGGGUGAAGCCCAAAGGCAUGGGCACGCAGGGCAGGCACUCAAGACACGAAUACACAAGCGUGCAUGUGUGUGCAAGCACUGUGUGUCAGCCAAGCAUUGUGCAUGCAGGACACACAUGCUGGAGCCCAAACGUGUGUGCAGGUACCAGCUAGCCCCGUCUGUGGUGAGGCACCAGGUGCCUCCCGCAUCCACAGAGAUGUAGCUCCCUGCAGCCCACAGCAGGGAUUGGGGGCCUGAGAGGGACAGGGGAUGUGGGGAGGAGGGGCUGCACAACCCAGCUCCCCUGGCGGAUGGAAGCAGUGAGUCUUCCCCCGAGAUGAUCCUGCCCCUCAGGGGAGACUUGCAAUGUCUGGGGACAUCUGUGGUUGUCACGACUGGGGGGCAGGUGUUAUCGGCAUGGAAUGGGUCAAGGCCCAGAGAUGCUGCUUGACACCCUCCAGUGCACAGGACGGCCCCAUCCCAGAGAAUGAUCCAGCCCCGUGUCAGCAGUGCCGAGGGGGAGAGACCCUGCAUGGAAACACUCCAGGGCCAGAAGCUGUCUUCCCCUCUCAGUUCCCUUAGCUUCCCCACCUGCACACCCAGAGCUUGUGAAGGCCUACAGCAAGGACUGUGCAGGUGAAGCAGAUCCUUUGAACAGGGUCAAGGCAGACCCAGCAUCUGGCUUGUGGGACUAAAUCCAUCUCAGCCAGGCCUCCCACCCUCACCUGAGCAGGACAGGACCCAGAGAGACACCAGCGAGACCUCCAUUCAAAUCAUUCCAGUCCCUGUGGUCAGGACGAAUGGGAGGUCCAGGUAUGUAAACCUCGGAGAGAAAUGGAUCCCUACGGCCGUCAGUGCCUGGGCUCCGGGC